CGAAAGGAACGCUAAUACCGCAUACGUCCUACGGGAGAAAGCAGGGGACCGUUCGGGCCUUGCGCUAUCAGAUGAGCCUAGGUCGGAUUAGCUAGUUGGUGAGGUAAUGGCUCACCAAGGCGACGAUCCGUAACUGGUCUGAGAGGAUGAUCAGUCACACUGGAACUGAGACACGGUCCAGACUCCUACCGGGGAGGCAGCAGCG
rnacentral:rRNA from 1 species